rnacentral:rRNA from 1 species
UGGGGAAUAUUGCACAAUGGGCGCAAGCCUGAUGCAGCCAUGCCGCGUGUAUGAAGAAGGCCUUCGGGUUGUAAAGUACUUUCAGCGGGGAGGAAGGUGUUGAGGCUAAUAACCUCAGCAAUUGACGUUACCCGCAGAAGAAGCACCGGAUAACUCCGUGCCAGCAGCCGCGGUAAUACGGAGGGUGCAAGCGUUAAUCGGAAUUACUGGGCGUAAAGCGCACGCAGGCGGUCUGUCAAGUCGGAUGUGAAAUCCCCGGGCUCAACCUGGGAACUGCAUUCGAAACUGGCAGGCUAGAGUCUUGUAGAGGGGGGUAGAAUUCCAGGUGUAGCGGUGAAAUGCGUAGAGAUCUGGAGGAAUACCGGUGGCGAAGGCGGCCCCCUGGACAAAGACUGACGCUCAGGUGCGAAAGCGUGGGGAGCAAACA